AAGGUCUUAUCUUAAUUAAAGAGUUUGCUUUGCACGCAAAAAAUGUGGGGUAGUGUCCUGCAGAUCUUA
rnacentral:tRNA from 1 species